GUAAGUUAUUACCUAUGGAUGUGAAGAGCUCCAUGUUCAUGGUUAAGAGGUUACAAGCUUCUUUUCUGCAACUCGAUCGACUUGUCACCCAUCUUGAGCCAAAGAUCGUCUGAAAUAAAAGACUAUCUUUUCUACUGGUUAAGUCAAACUAUAAGCAGUCUGAUUCCCUGAGUCAUGGGGAUAUGUAAGCUAUGAUCCAUGUAGAAACUCGACUGCAUUCCAACCUCCCCCC
rnacentral:lncRNA from 1 species